CCUGGUUGAUCCUGCCAGUAGUCAUAUGCUUGUCUCAAAGAUUAAGCCAUGCAUGUCUAAGUAUAAGCACUUUAUACUGUGAAACUGCGAAUGGCUCAUUAAAUCAGUUAUCGUUUAUUUGAUAGUACCUUACUACAUGGAUACCUGUGGUAAUUCUAGAGCUAAUACAUGCUGAAAACCUCGACUUCGGAAGGGGUGUAUUUAUUAGAUAAAAAACCAAUGCCCUUCGGGGCUCCUUGGUGAAUCAUAAUAACUUAACGAAUCGCAUGGCCUUGCGCCGGCGAUGGUUCAUUCAAAUUUCUGCCCUAUCAACUUUCGAUGGUAGGAUAGUGGCCUACCAUGGUGGCAACGGGUAACGGGGAAUUAGGGUUCGAUUCCGGAGAGGGAGCCUGAGAAACGGCUACCACAUCCAAGAAGGCAGCAGCGCGCAAAUUACCCAAUCCCGACACGGGGAGUAGUGACAUAAAUACUGAUACGGGCUCUUUUGGGUCUCGUAAUUGAUGAGUACAAUCUAAUUCCUUACGAGGACAUUGGAGGCAGUCUGUGCCAGCAGCCGGGUAUUCCAGCUCAAAGCGUAAUUAAGUUUUUGCAGUUAAAGGUCGUAUUUGACCUUGGUCUGGCUUGGCGGUCCCCUCACCGAGUAUUGUUCCCGCUGAACUUUCUUUGGGAAUCUCAGCCUCAUGGCGUGGGGGGUUGAUCCUGCCAGUAGUCAUAUGCUUGUCUCAAAGAUUAAGCCAUGCAUGUCUAAGUAUAAGCACUUUAUACUGUGAAACUGCGAAUGGCUCAUUAAAUCAGUUAUCGUUUAUUUGAUAGUACCUUACUACAUGGAUACCUGUGGUAAUUCUAGAGCUAAUACAUGCUGAAAACCUCGACUUCGGAAGGGGUGUAUUUAUUAGAUAAAAAACCAAUGCCCUUCGGGGCUCCUUGGUGAAUCAUAAUAACUUAACGAAUCGCAUGGCCUUGCGCCGGCGAUGGUUCAUUCAAAUUUCUGCCCUAUCAACUUUCGAUGGUAGGAUAGUGGCCUACCAUGGUGGCAACGGGUAACGGGGAAUUAGGGUUCGAUUCCGGAGAGGGAGCCUGAGAAACGGCUACCACAUCCAAGGAAGGCAGCAGGCGCGCAAAUUACCCAAUCCCGACACGGGGAGGUAGUGACAAUAAAUACUGAUACGGGGCUCUUUUGGGUCUCGUAAUUGGAAUGAGUACAAUCUAAAUCCCUUAACGAGGAACAAUUGGAGGGCAAGUCUGGUGCCAGCAGCCCGCGGUAAUUCCAGCUCCAAUAGCGUAUAUUAAAGUUGUUGCAGUUAAAAGCUCGUAGUUGAACCUUGGGUCUGGCUGGCCGGUCCGCCUCACCGCGAGUACUGGUCCGGCUGGACCUUUCCUUCUGGGGAAUCUCAUGGCCUUC
rnacentral:rRNA from 1 species